rnacentral:rRNA from 1 species
GACCUCGGAUCAGGUAGGGAUACCCGCUGAACUUAAGCAUAUCAAUAAGCGGAGGAAAAGAAACCAACAGGGAUUGCCUCAGUAACGGCGAGUGAAGCGGCAACAGCUCAAAUUUGAAAUCUGGCCCCUCCGGGGUCCGAGUUGUAAUUUGUAGAGGGUGUUUCGGGCGACGCGCCGGUCUAAGUCCCUUGGAACGGGGCGUCAUAGAGGGUGAGAAUCCCGUAUGCGACCGGUGACCGAGCCUGUGUGAAACCCCUUCGACGAGUCGAGUUGU